rnacentral:rRNA from 1 species
CGGCAGGCCUAAUACAUGCAAGUCGAGGGGUAACAGGAAGUGCUUGCACUUCGCUGACGACCGGCGCACGGGUGAGUAUCGCGUAUACAAUCUGCCUCAUACUAGGGAAUAGCCCGAAGAAAUUUGGAUUAAUGCUCUAUAGUAUCUUUUUAAGGCAUCUUAUUAAGAUUAAAGGUUACGGUAUGAGAUGAGUAUGCGUUCUAUUAGCUAGUAGGUGUGGUAACGGCACACCUAGGCUACGAUAGAUAGGGGCCCUGAGAGGGGGAUCCCCCACACUGGUACUGAGACACGGACCAGACUCCUACGGGAGGCAGCAGUAAGGAAUAUUGGUCAAUGGACGAAAGUCUGAACCAGCCAUGCCGCGUGCAGGAUGACUGCCCUAUGGGUUGUAAACUGCUUUUAUAUAGGAAGAAAAACUUUCUCGUGAGAAAGCUUGACGGUACUAUAAGAAUAAGGAUCGGCUAA